rnacentral:rRNA from 1 species
UACGUAGGGUGCGAGCGUUAAUCGGAAUUACUGGGCGUAAAGUGUGCGCAGGCGGCUUCGCAAGUCAGACGUGAAAUCCCCGGGCUUAACCUGGGAAUGGCGUUUGAAACUACGGAGCUGGAGUAUGGCAGAGGGGGGUGGAAUUCCACGUGUAGCGGUGAAAUGCGUAGAUAUGUGGAGGAACACCGAUGGCGAAGGCAGCCCCCUGGGCCAAUACUGACGCUCAUGCACGAAAGCGUGGGGAGCAAACAGG